AUUGAACGCUGGCGGCAUGCUUUACACAUGCAAGUCGAACGGUAACAGGCCGCAAGGUGCUGACGAGUGGCGAACGGGUGAGUAAUGCAUCGGAACGUGCCCAGUCGUGGGGGAUAACUACUCGAAAGAGUAGCUAAUACCGCAUACGAUCUAUGGAUGAAAGCGGUGGACCGUAAGGCCUCGCGCGAUUGGAUCGGCCGAUGUCAGAUUAGGUAGUUGGUGGGGUAAAGGCUCACCAAGCCAACGAUCUGUAGCUGGUCUGAGAGGACGACCAGCCACACUGGGACUGAGACACGGCCCAGACUCCUACGGGAGGCAGCAGUGGGGAAUUUUGGACAAUGGGCGCAAGCAUGAUCCAGCAAUGCCGCGUGCAGGAAGAAGGCCUUCGGGUUGUAAACUGCUUUUGUACGGAACGAAACGGCUCUGGUUAAUACCCGGGGCUAAUGACGGUACCGUAAGAAUAAGCACCGGCUAACUACGUG
rnacentral:rRNA from 1 species